AUCAUGAACUGAGGCCUCAGUGCAAUAGCUCAUGAGGAACUGAAUUAUUUCAACAGCCAGGGUUGCUCUGAAGACUAAAGCCCUGGGAUCAUUCAUUUUAAAAGAAAAGAACGGUGAUUCAUCAUUUCAAGCUUUUCAUUCUGGAAGUUGGAAGUACAAGAUCAGAUUGCCAGCAUCAUCAGAUUUGAUAUCAAAGUAAUGUCAAGUGCUUCUGACCCACUGCAUUAAACGUGUGCUGAGCAGUUGGUGGUAGAAGACAUUAUUGUGAAGGCUGCUCACCACCAAUUUCAUCACUGUUGCUAACUCCAGCUCAUCUAAUCUCUGCAACAUCUGCUGCCAGCACCUUCUCUUGCCUCCUUUUGUGAACAUAGUUUUUUCUUCUGGUUAGAAAAUCAGUUCGAACUUCUUGAGUUUUGUGUUUUAAACUCUUCUCAACUGUUCCCAUGAUUGAUGGAUGCCCAGAGGCGACCUCUUUAUCUCCAGCAACAUAUUUGGCUGUUGGCCCGGUAGAGAGGUACUCCAGAAGCUUGCUGGUUCAUCAUGCUCUCACCUUUAACCACAACUAUUUAUCUGACUCCUUCCAUCUCCACAGCACUGUGUGAGGGAUCAGUGAUAAGAGACGGUGAAAGACAUGCGCAAAUGGAUAAAUAAUAAGCA
rnacentral:antisense_RNA from 1 species